GGGUCKUUAGCUCAGUUGGUAGAGCAGUUGACUUUUAAUCAAUUGGUCGCAGGUUCGAAUCCUGCACGACCCACCA
rnacentral:tRNA from 1 species